CGACUUCUGCAGUUCUUUACAAAGCGAGCUCGGCAGAUGUGAGCACUGUCAACAGCAGUUUUGGGGAUCUUCAAUCAACUGCAAAAGAUGGCAGUCCAUGAUCACAAGUGGCUGUACCUGAAUGCAUGGCUGCCCUCAGCUUCUACGCCAGCUCACCAGAGGGCAUUAGAGACAGGUCACAGGGGUCCAGGGACACGACGAGGUCACACCAUGGGAUCUGCGGCUGAUCUCCUUAACUCGGGGACUCAGGACCUGCACCACAGCCCUCCAGGCACAUCAUGGGUACUAACCAACAGAGUGGCAGGGGCCUCCAUGGCUCUGCACAGGAGGACAUGACCCCAGCCCCAGGCCUGUGAGCUGCACAGUGCCCUGGGCACCAGCGUGGACCCUGGGGAAUUGGGACUGAAUAAAGAUUUCAACCUCCUCAGUGA